rnacentral:rRNA from 1 species
CGCAGCUUACCAUGCAAGUCGAGCGGUAACAGGGGGUGCUUGCACCCCGCUGACGAGCGGCGGACGGGUGAGUAAUGCAUAGGAAUCUGCCCAGUAGUGGGGGAUAGCCCGGGGAAACCCGGAUUAAUACCGCAUACGCCCUUUGGGGGAAAGCAGGGGAUCUUCGGACCUUGCGCUAUUGGAUGAGCCUAUGUCGGAUUAGCUAGUUGGUGGGGUAAAGGCCUACCAAGGCGACGAUCCGUAGCUGGUCUGAGAGGAUGAUCAGCCACAUCGGGACUGAGACACGGCCCGAACUCCUACGGGAGGCAGCAGUGGGGAAUAUUGGACAAUGGGGGCAACCCUGAUCCAGCCAUGCCGCGUGUGUGAAGAAGGCUUUCGGGUUGUAAAGCACUUUCAGUGAGGAGGAAAACCUUCUGGUUAAUACCCAUGAGGCUUGACGUUACUCACAGAAGAAGCACCGGCUAACUCCGUGCCAGCAGCCGCGGUAAUACGGAGGGUGCAAGCGUUAAUCGGAAUUACUGGGCGUAAAGCGCGCGUAGGUGGUUUGAUAAGCGAGAUGUGAAAGCCCCGGGCUUAACCUGGGAACGGCAUUUCGAACUGUCAGGCUAGA